AAUCAUUGAAUGAUUUGAGUUGGAAGGGACUCAUAAAGACCAUCUAGUCCAGUUCCCCUGCCAUGAACAGCUCGAUCAGGUGCCCAGAGCCCCAUCCAGCCUGACCUGGAGUGUCUCCUUAUUCCUGACCUUCCACUGGUGCUCAAAUUUGGACUUCUGCAACAUCCUUUCAGAGAGAGCCAACUUCCGUUCUGAUUUAAGAAAUCAUCCAAUUAGACUAACAGCUGCAGAGAUUGGAAUAAGCCUUGCAUGUGAGAAAAUUAAAGAAAAUGCAGCUGAGUACUAUGCAAAGCAGUGAAGCUUGGUCUGGUGCUUGACCUUGUCAUAAGCACGCAAGACAAUGUUCAGAGCUGUCCAGCUGCUUGCAACACCACUAAUCUCUAUAUGAAAUGAAAAAAACAGACUCUCCAAUCACAUCCAUGGAGCUGAAUUUAGUGAGGAGAUAUAUAAACACCAGAAUGCACUUAUCCACUACCUUGUCUUACAUGCACGGUGUACCUUGCCAAGGGAAAGUCCAAAGGAGAAGUUGUGGAACUGCGCUUUUCAUCAGCUGUCAAGACGGUUUCUUGUAUUACCUGGUCUCCAACAACUAUAAGUGCGGCUUAGAUGUCUGCCUUCCAUGUAAACACUUACAGGGAAAGUAUAAAAUUCCAUCUGAAG
ensembl:lncRNA